rnacentral:rRNA from 1 species
AUUGAACGCUGGCGGCAGGCCUAACACAUGCAAGUCGAACGAGUGGCGGACGGGUGAGUAAUGUCUGGGAAACUGCCCGAUGGAGGGGGAUAACUACUGGAAACGGUCGCUAAUACCGCAUACCAUCGGAUGUGCCCAGAUGGUAUUAGCUAUUAGGUGGGGUAACGGCUCACCUAGGCGACGAUCCCUAGCUUGUCUGAGAGGAUGACCCGCAAAACUGGAACUGAAACACGGUCCAGACUCCUACGGAAGGCAGCAGUGGGGAAUAUUGAACAAUGGGCGCAAGCCUGAUGCAGCCAUGCCGCGUGUAUGAAGAAGGCCUUCGGGUUGUAAAGUACUUUCAGCGAGGAGGCGUUACUCGCAGAAGAAGCACCGGCUAACUCCGUGCCAGCCGCCGCGGUAAUAC